rnacentral:rRNA from 1 species
UACGAAGGGGGCUAGCGUUGCUCGGAAUCACUGGGCGUAAAGCGCACGUAGGCGGACUCUUAAGUCGGGGGUGAAAUCCUGGAGCUCAACUCCAGAACUGCCUUCGAUACUGGGAGUCUUGAGUUCGGGAGAGGUGAGUGGAACUGCGAGUGUAGCGGUGAAAUGCGUAGAUAUCUGGAGGAACACCGGUGGCGAAGGCGGCAUCCUGGGACCAACACUGACGCUGAGGAGCGAAAGCCAGGGGAGCAAACGGGAUUAA